UGGGGAAUAUUGCGCAAUGGGGGCAACCCUGACGCAGCAAUACCGCGUGAGUGAAGAAGGUUUUCGGAUCGUAAAGCUCUGUUAUUGGGGAAGAAAAAAAGACGGUACCCAAGAAGAAAGUCCCGGCUAACUACGUGCCAGCAGCCGCGGUAAUACGUAGGGGACAAGCGUUGUCCGGAUUUACUGGGCGUAAAGGGCACGCAGGCGGUUUUUUAAGUCAGAUGUGAAAGGUACCGGCUCAACCGGUGACAUGCAUUUGAAACUGAAAGACUUGAGUAUUGGAGAGGCAAGUGGAAUUCCUAGUGUAGCGGUGAAAUGCGUAGAUAUUAGGAGGAACACCGGUGGCGAAGGCGAUCUACUGGAACAUUAUUGACGCUGAGGCAUG
rnacentral:rRNA from 1 species